GGCCUUAAGACUGUAACUGUGUAACCAAAUAGUAACCAAAUAAAAGCCAAUCCAUCUCUGGUGUUUUGCAUUCUGCAGCAUUAGCAAACUAGAACACUCGGUUUCCUCGUAUGGAAAACGGGGUGAUAACAGCACCUGCGGCACGGCCCGGGCAAGGAGCAUGUGAAUCACUUGCCCAGUGCUUGGCUGAAGGAGCUGCUCCCGACAGGCUUUCUUCUGUGUUUAAAAUCAUAAGACAUCUGGUGAGCGGCGAAGAGUUUAUAAACAUCCGUGCAUAGGUCAGAGAAGAAGAACCGGGCAAACCCCUGCUCCCCAGCCUGGUCAGGAAACAGUUUGCGUCCUCUACGUCCCUGCACGCCCACCGGCGUGGGGCCCCUAAACCGUUUCCCAUUUGGGGCCGGGAGCCCGGGCGGCCAGCACCCCUGGCUGGGAAGGCAGGGGCACAGCUGCCCUCUUGGGCGGAGGCUCCCAGGAGGCAGGUCACCCAGCAGCGUCUCCGGGUUGUCUGGCAGCCGCUCCCGAGUCUGCAGGGCCCUGUCGUAAUUUCCGGGGGCUGCUGUAACAGAGCCCCACAAACUGAAGGCGCAAACCACAGACGCAUGUUGUCUCUCAGUUCUGGCUGCCAGACAUCCAGGAAGCAGCUGGGCUGGUUCCUUCCGGAGGCCCCGAGGGACACCUGCUCCCCAGCUGUCCAGCCUCUGGUGGCCACCGGCUGACCCUGGCGUCCCUCGGUGGGGGGCACUCCCUCCACUCUCUGCCCCCGUCACGGCUGUCUCCUCUGUCCAGUCUAUGAGGACCCCAGACAGUGGGUUUAGGGCCCGCCUAGGCCAGCAUGACCCCAUUGGUGCUGGCUGGAGCUGCCCUGUACCCCAAAAAGGCCGUGCUCUUUCACCCCAUCCCUGGGGCUGCCGCCCUGUGGUGGGUGGGGCCUUUCGAUCAAGUUGUUUCGAUUGAGAUGUGACCCGCCCUGUUCAAGCUGGGUCUUAAUCCUUACUGGAGCCCUUUACGAGAGGAUAAAGGACAGGGAAGAUUAAGAGAUGCUCACAGGAAGCUCACAGGAGAUGCCCCAGAGAAGUCGAGAGAAACACCCCAGAGAGGCUCAGGGGACCCGCGGGACAGAGGCCCCCGCAGCCGGAAGCCGAGGCCACAAGACCCGGAGAGAAGGACGAGCAGCCGCAGCCACGUCCCUCCCACGUGCCCGGAGAGAAGGACGAGCAGCCGCAGCCACGUCCCUCCCACGUGACAGGGGUGUCCCAGGUGCCGGCGGCCUGUCCUCAGGCCCAGUGUCGUCCUGCUGGUGCCUCGACGUGGACAUUUUCACGGCCUCAGUGCUGUAAAUUUAUAAGCUAAUGAAUCCCCAUUGUAGAAGCCACCCCAUUUCCGGUACACUGCACUCGGCAGCUCCAGCAAACCGGAACGAACGCCAUCCUGACUUGACUGCAAAGGCUCUGCUUCCGAAUGAGGUCACGGCACAGAAUUCAGAUAAGAAUCCAGAUGCCUGACCUCCUGAACCCACCCCCCGGCUUCUGGACUUUCAUCUCCUAUUUUCUGCUCCUGCGGUGGAAAAACGGAGGUGGAGCCCCAGGGCUGGCAAGGCUCUGGGGUGGCGAGCUGAUCCAGCCAGUGAACUGAGCGGGGGCUCAAGACGUUGCAAGGCCCUGCCUCCCGCUGUGACGUACGACUUAAAAGAGCAGGAAAGGAAGGAGCACAGCGCAGGGCCCUCCAUCCUCAGCGUGGGGCAUGGACGGAAGCCCAGAAGCUUCCCUGACACACUGCGAUACCUCCUGGCUCGUGUGACUGCAGAGCUGGGGCGGCUGGAGCCACGCUCCGUGUUUGACCACCUGGCCUCCUCUGUCAUCUGGCAGUUAAGGCGGUGACCUGGAGAGGGUGGGGUCCUGCAAACUGGAAUGGGGACACAUGGGGGGCCUGGGAGAACCCCAACUCCCCACGUGCCCUCAUGUGUCCCAGGCAGCCAGAGCAAGCCCUCUCCUUGCCAGGUGAGCUUGGAGGCCCUGUCGCUCCCUCACCUGCAGGACACGCUACAUCUUGCUGGAGGAAACCCAGAGGCUCCUUCCCAGCUCCCCCAGCCCACCUGGGCGUGUGACCAGAAACCCCGAGUUCUGCUGCUAGCUCAGGCCUUUGGGGUUGGCGUCUGCAGAUGGGGUUAAGACCUGCUCGGGACAGCACGAAUCACUCAGGGGGCUCCGGAGACCUGGUCAGCUCAGAUACAGGUAGAGAGGUUUAUCCCAAGGAAUCACCUCCUGCAAUUGCAGGGGCUUGGCCAGCCUGAAAUCCACCUGACAGGCCCCGGGCUGGCAGGCAAAAACUCUGGUGAGGAUGGUGCUGGGAAGACCCUCCUCCACAUCACCCACUGGCCACGGGCAGGUUUAGCCGCUCGUGUGCCGGGGGUCAGGGCCUCGUUCCGCACUGGCUGCCCCCCGCCCCUCCACUGCGCUUCUCCGUGGGUCACUCCCGAGACGGCCUCUCGCUCCCAGCAGAAGGAGCAGGAGGGAGAGCAAGAGGGGAAGAGCAGGUGGAAGCCAGCGCCUGGGUACAGGGGACCCUUGGAAGUGACAUCCCAUCAUCUCAACUUUAUCCUGUUUAUCAGAAGCAAGUCCUGGGUCCAGCACCCAGUCGAGAGGAGGGGGCGCCCUGGACAUGGUUGUGAGGAGACAGGGUCAUGGGGCAUCGUGGACGCUGCCCGUCUCCACGGACACUCACCACUUGGCAGCACCUGGUGAUGUGACCGAUUCAGGCUGGGAGCAGACCCGAGCCAGGAGGAGGAUGUGUGCUGGGGAGCCUGGCCUCUCCCGUCACCACCCCAGCACUCGCCCCCGAGAGCCGCACAUGGCUCUGCUGCGCCGUCCUAACCUGCCCGUGUCUCGCCUGGUGCCACGACGGCCUGUGGCCAGGUUGGCAGCAGAAAUGUGUGGCCGCAUCCCGGGGGACCCACCUGCUCUGGGAAGGCUGCGGGGUUUUCCCCUGCCUUCGACACUUCUUUUCCUUCUCUUUUUAAAGAUUUAUUUUACUUUUCCGAGCAGUUUUAGGGUUACAGAAAAAUCAUACAGAAAGUGUAAUUUUCCUGUGCACUCCCACCAACACACAUGGUUUUCUCUAUUAACAUUUCACGUUAUUCUGGUACUUUUUUACAAUUUAGGAAGCACUAGUGUAGUCACAGGGUUACUGAAGUCUGUAGUUUACAGUAGGGUUCGCUCUUUGGGUUGUGUGGCUCUAUGGUGCUUUUUUUUUCAUUUUUAAAUCGUCUUUAUUUUGUAUGAUAAACUUACAAUAAAAUGUACCUGUAUAACUGUACAAUGAGAUAGGUUAUGAGGUAUUUGUACACCAUGUAAUUGCUAUCACAGUCAAGGUAGAGAACAUUUCCAUGUUCCCCCAAAAGUUUCCUUAUGCCCUGUGGUAAUCUGCGCCCCCCUACCCCCGCCCCUACAACUAACUCAACUAGCUAAACUAGGCGGAGCUUCUGCAAUAAUAAAUCCUUAGCAUCAUAACUACUACAGAAUUAGAAUUGUGAGAAUCUUUUACUCUUGGUCCCUGGCUGUACAUUAUUUUUCUUUUUCUUUUUUAAUGCAAUAGUUUUUUUUUUUACUUUAUCAAAAAAAAAUUCAAACAAAACAAAGGAAUAAGAAAAACAACCUAAAAUAACUAUUGCUUCUAACAUAGCCCUACCAUACCCCACGAAAAUUAACAAACCCUAACAAAACAAAGGAAUAAAAAAAAAAAUGACCUAAUAUAACUGCAUUUCACAUUAUUCUGGUACUUUUUUACAAUUUAGGAAGCACUAGUGUAGUCACAGGGUUACUAAAGUCCGUAGUUUACAGUAGGUUCACCCUGGGUUGUGAGGCUCUACGGUGCUUUUAUUAAAAGCAUUUUAUGGUGCAGCAGGUAUAUGGCUGAAAACAUCCCAUAUCGAUCCCUUCCUGGCCCCUGAUUCCAAGCCUCCUCCGGAUCUGGGGGUCCGGCCCACCCUUUGCUUAUAUGGCUCGGCGUCCUGGCCGCUCCGUGGAGUUACUGAUUGGAACUGGGAAGACGCCCGUGGAGGCCUGAGCCUGGCAUGCCCAGCUCCCCAGCACACUGGGCAGCUCCAAACAGCAGGAAUUUAUUCUCCUGUGGUUCUGGAAGCAGGAACCAGAAAUCCAGGUGUGGGCAGGGCCACUCCCUCCCAACCCUGUGGGGAGGCCCCCUCCUGUCUCUUCUGGCUUCCGGGCUGGCUGGCCAGCCUUGGUGUCCCUCGGCUCGUGGCAGCGCCUGCCUCCGUCACCCGUGGCCUCCUCCCCAUCUGGUCCAGACUUCCCUCUUCUUCCAAGGAGCCCGGUCAUGUUGGGUCAGGCCCUGGCCAGUGCGGCCUCCUCCUAACUGGCCACACCUGCAAACACCCUGCUUCCAAAUGAGGUCCCCAGGCCUGGGGCGUGGGGCUCACUUUUUGCCUCAUGACUCCAAAGGAGCUGCCCUGUGGGAGGUGGACCGGCCAUCUCGUGCAUCGUUCCAACCACAGCUAGGGGCCAAGGCAGCUGCCCCUACGGGACCCAGCACCGGGAGCAAACGGAUGGUGCCCUGUGCCAGUUUGGAUCUAUUAUGUCCAUCAAAAGCCAUGUUCUUUAAUGCAAUCUUGUGGGGGCAGAUUGAUUCAUCUUUUUGAUUAGGGUUUGACUUCUUGAUUGAAAGUUUCCAUGGAGA